UACAGGGGGUGCAAACGUUGCUCGGAAUCAUUGGGCGUAAAGCGCACGUAGGCGGUUACUUAAGUCGGAUGUGAAAGCCCUUGGCUCAACCGAGGAAGUGCAUCCGAAACUGAGUAGCUAGAGCACUAAAGAGGGUCGCGGAAUUCCCGGUGUAGAGGUGAAAUUCGUAGAUAUCGGGAGGAACACCGGUGGCGAAGGCGGCGACCUGGGUAGAGACUGACGCUGAGGUGCGAAAGCGUGGGGAGCAACAGG
rnacentral:rRNA from 1 species